rnacentral:rRNA from 1 species
GACAGAGGUGCCGAGCGUUAGGCGGAAUCACUGGGCUUAAAGCGUGUGUAGGCGGGCCGUUAAGUAUCUUGUGAAAUCCCCCGGCUCAACCGGGGAAUGGCUGGAUAUACUGGCGGUCUUGAGCGAUCUAGGGGCAGAUGGAACAAGUGGUGGAGCGGUGAAAUGCGUAGAUAUCACUUGGAACGCCAAAGGUGAAAACAGUCUGCUGGGGAUCUGCUGACGCUGAGACACGAAAGCCAGGGGAGCAAACAGG